rnacentral:rRNA from 1 species
GACAGAGGGUGCAAACGUUGUUCGGAAUUACUGGGCGUACAGCGCGUGUCGGCUGCUCUGCAAGUCGGAUGUGAAAGCCCUGGGCUCAACCUAGGAAGUGCACUCGAAACUGCAGAGCUGGAGUCCUGGAGAGGAAGGCGGAAUUCUCGGUGUAGAGGUGAAAUUCGUAGAUAUCGAGAGGAACACCGGUGGCGAAGGCGGCCUUCUGGACAGUGACUGACGCUGAGACGCGAAAGCGUGGGGAGCAAACAGG